UUGAGCUUGCCAGCAUUAGAACGGAAUGAGACAAUGGGCUCCACAAGCUCCAGACCCGGGCUGAGCAAAGUAGCUCCAAGUAAUAGACUGCGAGAAGAGGGGGCAAAGCAUGAACCACAAUGGACCCUCCCUGCUCUACCAGUCACUGUGGAGCUGCCAUCAGGAUCUCUGGGACCGAGGAAGACAAUCUUACCUCCACUGAGACACAAAAUAACUCUUUCCUCAUUCUCAGGGCAGGAACUGCAGAGAUGGGGGUGUCCACCUGUUUUCUGCAAUUGGUCAGACAGGACACUCCAGCACCGGCAGAAGGAUUCAGGGAGGAUUCCUAGAGGCCCAGACAGCUCUUACACAACAGGCUCAUCGUUAUCGGCGAGCUCGCUUCCAACAAGCCAGAGAGCACAGAAGACGUAAAGUUGUCUACUCAGUUAAUGUUGGAGAAACAAAUACAGAAGGCAACCAGAGGCUGAAACUUGUGAGAAGGUCCACAUAGAGGGACAUCUUCCUGGAUGAGACCACAAGAGAAAGUCUAGACCCUAGCAGCCUUCUAGACUCAAAAUCUCUGCCUCACCUCUGUAAAGCAAGACAGAGUAACCAGCCAGACAAACUGCUUCUGUGCAGCAAAGAAGAUGAGAUCCAGACAGAUCAAACUCAAGGUCCCACAAACGCAGUAGAAAGAACUCAACAAACUGGACACAAAGGACUGUCUUUAGACCAAAACCUAGCCUGGACAACUGAAAUAGUGAGAAUAGAAGACAGGGGUAAAAGACAGAGGGAUAGCUGGAUAUUGCCUGAGUCAGCCAGAAGCUGUCAGAAAGCGAGGAUAACAGGUGCCGGAGGGAUCUGGGACAAUAAGCUGGACUAAGAACACUUGCAAUAUAAACAAAACACUUGAUGUCCUGGGGAUACUUUCAUACAUGCCUGAGAUUAUGUUGCCCUCUAUAGGUAAAAGCAGUGGGAACACUUGCUGCCCAAGCAGUGAGUCUGAAGCUCAUUUAGCAUUCCUACAAUUUUGAUAG